rnacentral:rRNA from 1 species
AGAAUUUGAUCCUGGCUCAGGAUGAACGCUAGCUACAGGCUUAACACAUGCAAGUCGAGGGGCAUCAUGACGAUAGCUUGCUAUGUUGAUGGCGACCGGCGCACGGGUGAGUAACGCGUAUCCAACCUUCCCUUAGUAGGGCAUAGCCCGGCGAAAGUCGGAUUAAUACCCUAUGUUAUUCGUAGAGGACAUCUGAAAUGAAUCAAAGAUUUAUCGCUAAGGGAUGGGGAUGCGUCCGAUUAGGUAGUCGGCGGGGUAACGGCCCACCGAGCCUUCGAUCGGUAGGGGUUCUGAGAGGAAGGUCCCCCACACUGGUACUGAGACACGGACCAGACUCCUACGGGAGGCAGCAGUGAGGAAUAUUGGUCAAUGGGCGUAAGCCUGAACCAGCCAAGUAAGCGUGCAGGAUGACGGCCCUAUGGGUUGUAAACUGCUUUUAUACGGGGAUAAAGUGAGGGACGUGUCCCUUAUUGUAGGUACCGUAUGAAUAAGGACCGGCUAAUUCCGUGCCAGCCGCCGC